UACAGAGGUCCCAAGCGUUGUUCGGAUUCACUGGGCGUAAAGGGUGCGUAGGCGGUCGGGUAAGUCUGGCGUGAAAUCUCUAAGCCUAACUUGGAAACUGCGUUGGAUACUAUCCGGCUCGAGGAAUGGAGGGGAGACUGGAAUACUUGGUGUAGCAGUGAAAUGCGUAGAUAUCAGGAGGAACACCAAUGGCGAAGGCAGCACUCUGGGACGUGACUGACGCUGAGACGCGAAAGCGUGGGGAGCAAACAGG
rnacentral:rRNA from 1 species